AAUCUGCGAAGCGCUCAAAUGGGAACCGUUGACGCCCACUGCAGCCGAAUCCGACAUGUGUCCAGCAACAGGAUUCACAGGCAACAGCGAGAAAAUCUGCGAAGUGCUCAAUGGGGAACCGUUGACGCCCACUGCAGCUGAAUCCGACAUGUGUCCAGCAACAGUCUACGAACCUUGGUUCACCGCUAUCAUCGCCCUACAAAAGACGAUCGACUGCAGUGCAUCUCUGGGGCGUGGAACCGGCAGUGCAAUGGCAGUGCCGUUCACGCAUGUUCUGCUUCUUGUGCAGGUUAGUGAAUGUUCCCUUUGUAGACAAUUUGCUCUUGUUAUCCAGCCGGUUCCACCCCAUAUGUUGUAUAACUGUGUGCGCGUGCAUUCCGAUGCUAGAAACCGCUCAAAGCGUCGGAUUUUGUUGCUGCGUCGUUUUUGCUUUUAUUUUUUGCUAUUAAUUCUCUGUGGGGAUAUCGAAACGAAUCCUGGCCCUGUCGUUGAUGCGACGCUACAGAAAAUUUUGGAUGGGCAAAACGCGAUUGUUCGAAAGCUUAAUACCAUUGAAGCGAACCAAGCGGAACAUAAGGCUGCUAUAAAUGACUUGAGUGAACGAGUGUCGUCAAUGGAAGGAAAAA
rnacentral:lncRNA from 1 species